AUGCAAGGAGAAACAUGUAUUGGCACGAAUGUACAGAAACUGAGUCGUCGCCCAUCUCUUCAGACCGAUGGCUGCUAUGAAGUUCAUGAUAUUGAGGAUCUUCCUAGGGUUGGAAGACAGGUCAAAGGAUGUCCAUAUUUUGCUGCACAAACCAUGGCAAAAGCAGUCGAAUUGUCAGGAGAGCAAUGGACAUUGAUAUCACUGGCUCAAUUGUUAUUCUCGAUGAAGCGCAGUAAGCCCCUGAGUCUCCAAACCAAUUAUUCUGUUUCAGUGUCGAUCAAUGGUUUCCUUAGUUGCAAGACAAUGGCUCCCCAUGUUAUCGAUCCGGUGUUGCUGUGCAUGAGGACAUGGGGAAGGUGUAACAAGGCAGCGCUUGUGUUGCAGUGGAGUGGAGUCGGCCAUCUGGAUGUUUGCAGAUCAGUCGAAGAAGAGAGGAAGGAUCUUGAGGAAGAGUCAAGAACAAGGUGA
rnacentral:rRNA from 1 species